GGGGCCUUAGCUCAGUUGGUAGAGCACCGCCUUUGCAAGGCGGGUGUCAGGGGUUCGAUUCCCCUAGGCUCCACGA
rnacentral:tRNA from 1 species